AUUGAACGCUGGCGGCAGGCUUAACACAUGCAAGUCGAGCGGAGAGAGGUAGCUUGCUACUGAUCUUAGCGGCGGACGGGUGAGUAAUGCUUAGGAAUCUGCCUAUUAGUGGGGGACAACAUUUCGAAAGGAAUGCUAAUACCGCAUACGUCCUACGGGAGAAAGCAGGGGAUCUUCGGACCUUGCGCUAAUAGAUGAGCCUAGGUCGGAUUAGCUAGUUGGUGGGGUAAAGGCCUACCAAGGCGACGAUCUGUAGCGGGUCUGAGAGGAUGAUCCGCCACACUGGGACUGAGACACGGCCCAGACUCCUACGGGAGGCAGCAGUGGAGAAUAUUGGACAAUGGGCGCAAGCCUGAUCCAGCCAUGCCGCGUGUGUGAAGAAGGCCUUAUGGUUGUAAAGCACUUUAAGCGAGGAGGAGGCUACUUUAGAUAAUACCUAGAGAUAGUGGACGUUACUCGCAGAAUAAGCACCGGCUAACUCUGUGCCAGCCGCCGCCGUAACAC
rnacentral:rRNA from 1 species